CAGGAAAACUGCCACCAAGUAGCUUAGCUUCCUGUAGCACCUGAUUGGGUGACCACAAGAGCCUGCUGUGUGACUGCCUGUGGCUGCCUGUAACUGCCAAUGAAAUAAGGGCUUUUGCCUGCCUCUUCAGCAAGUUCCUCUCACUGACAGACACUAAACUAGAAGUAAACAUUAAAAAUGAUACUGGGGCAUUUGUUUGUAACCUCCUCCCUUGUGAUAAAAAGAAUAAUAUAGAAGAGAGAAGUCAUGGAUGGAGACACUAAGCAAAACCUAAUAUCACAAAUCCCUUAAAAAACAAAGCAGGUGCCUUUUCUCCCUGUCCACCUGAAACUCCUCUUCUUCCUGGAGGGUUAUGGGAGGAUUCAUACAUGCUUUCAUUGACAAACUACUUUUACAUUAGACAACAAAUGGAGGUACCCUGCGGCAGUGGUGAUGGGAAAGGAUUUGAAUCAGUCAACCUGACACCAGAGUCACUGCUCCUUCCACUGAUUCUAAGAUGGUCCUAUUCUCACCCUCUACAGAAGGCAAAGCUUGAAAAAGGAAAACCCAGAUGUUCAUGUAAAAAAAAAAAAAAAAAAAAAAAACAAGAAAAGCAGAA